GGUUAAGCGACUAAGCGUACACGGUGGAUGCCCUGGCAGUCAGAGGCGAUGAAGGACGUGCUAAUCUGCGAAAAGCGUCGGUAAGGUGAUAUGAACCGUUAUAACCGGCGAUGUCCGAAUGGGGAAACCCAGUGCAAUUCGUUGCACUAUCGUUAACUGAAUACAUAGGUUAACGAGGCGAACCGGGGGAACUGAAACAUCUAAGUACCCCGAGGAAAAGAAAUCAACCGAGAUUCCCCCAGUAGCGGCGAGCGAACGGGGAGCAGCCCAGAGUCUGAAUCAGCUUGUGUGUUAGUGGAACGGUCUGGAAAGUCCGACGGUACAGGGUGAUAGUCCCGUACACCAAAAUGCACAGGCUGUGAACUCGAAGAGUAGGGCGGGACACGUGGUAUCCUGUCUGAAUAUGGGGGGACCAUCCUCCAAGGCUAAAUACUCCUGACUGACCGAUAGUGAACCAGUACCGUGAGGGAAAGGCGAAAAGAACCCCGGCGAGGGGAGUGAAAAAGAACCUGAAACCGUGUACGUACAAGCAGUGGGAGCACCUUCGGGUGUGACUGCGUACCUUUUGUAUAAUGGGUCAGCGACUUAUAUUCUGUAGCAAGGUUAACCGUAUAGGGGAGCCGCAGGGAAACCGAGUCUUAACUGGGCGUUAAGUUGCAGGGUAUAGACCCGAAACCCGGUGAUCUAGCCAUGGGCAGGUUGAAGGUUGGGUAACACUAACUGGAGGACCGAACCGACUAAUGUUGAAAAAUUAGCGGAUGACUUGUGGCUGGGGGUGAAAGGCCAAUCAAACCGGGAGAUAGCUGGUUCUCCCCGAAAGCUAUUUAGGUAGCGCCUCGUGAACUCAUCUUCGGGGGUAGAGCACUGUUUCGGCUAGGGGGUCAUCCCGACUUACCAACCCGAUGCAAACUACGAAUACCGAAGAAUGUUAUCACGGGAGACACACGGCGGGUGCUAACGUCCGUCGUGAAGAGGGAAACAACCCAGACCGCCAGCUAAGGUCCCAAAGUCAUGGUUAAGUGGGAAACGAUGUGGGAAGGCACAGACAGCCAGGAUGUUGGCUUAGAAGCAGCCAUCAUUUAAAGAAAGCGUAAUAGCUCACUGGUCGAGUCGGCCUGCGCGGAAGAUGUAACGGGGCUAAACCAUGCACCGAAGCUGCGGCAGCGACACUAUGUGUUGUUGGGUAGGGGAGCGUUCUGUAAGCCUGCGAAGGUGACCUGUGAGGGUUGCUGGAGGUAUCAGAAGUGCGAAUGCUGACAUAAGUAACGAUAAAGCGGGUGAAAAGCCCGCUCGCCGGAAGACCAAGGGUUCCUGUCCAACGUUAAUCGGGGCAGGGUGAGUCGACCCCUAAGGCGAGGCCGAAAGGCGUAGUCGAUGGGAAACAGGUUAAUAUUCCUGUACUUGGUGUUACUGCGAAGGGGGGACGGAGAAGGCUAUGUUAGCCGGGCGACGGUUGUC
rnacentral:rRNA from 1 species